GGUUCCUGUCCUGUUUGAGUUCCUGUCCUGACUUCCUGCAUCAUUGAAAUGUGCAACCAUGCCAUACAUGUAGAACUCAGAACCCAGCUUUCAGGAGAAGGCUCUCUCCUUUCACCUUACUAAGUGGGCAUCCUGCUGCUGUGUUGUCAACUCCUGGAAGCUGACCCAGAAGCUUCCACAUGAACCUCCUGUCUCUACUCUCCGUGUCUCCCUAGGAAUUCUGGGAUUCAGCCCAGGUCUGAGAAAAGAGACUGCAUCUUUGAGUUGAUGAAAAUCCAAAGCUGUGCCUGUGGCCUUUUCUGGUCUUCUGUACAAGAGAAUCGUUGCUUUCUCCAGCUUGGCUCUUGUUGCCCAGCUGGAAUUUCAAACAAGCCUUCUCCAAGUAACUCAUCUAGUCGUUUACACACACACACACCGGACUGACUUGCUGAUCUGACGACUCCAUAUCUCCCACUACUUCUGCACCACAAGAGCCAUGGCCUCGUUAUCUUUUGGUGGCUUUUCUUUGCUGAACCAUCACUGAUUGAGCUCAUUUCACGUGCCAUCCAUCGAGAAUCCCAAGGAAGGAACACAGUGAAGAGGAAUGUAGAGAAGCCAGCCCAGCUGAAUGGAGGAGACAGAAUGGGGGUAGGGAUGUUAUAAAGUGGUCCACUGGCUUGGAGGACUUACAGGGAGGCAGACAGCUGGAGGACAGGAAAAGAGCAGAAGAGACAAUAAUUCAAACAUAGAGGAAUGGAUACCCCUGACGCCUUCAGCUGAUCUGUGCUUGUGACCUCAAGAGAAAGCAGGGGGAUGUGACUAGGUUGGGUUUGGCAAGCCAAACAGCCUUGCUAGAAGUUUAGGCAAUGGCAGUCAUUUUGCAAGACAAAAAUGAGAGCUCAUGAUAGCAAAGUACGAGCUCUAUUGGGGACAGUGAUCAGUCAGGACAGUAGACACAGGCCUUCCACACUAUCCAGGACGGGUCACUGCUAGAGCAAUAGGGACCAUUAGAGGUUUAAAACUGAGAUAUGGCAUAGCCCAGGCUCUGGUUUAUAACAGUCUAUGCAGAGAAGACUAGAGGAUGGAGGGCUGAUGGCUGUGGGUGAAGAGGCUGAUGCUAAAGUCCAAGCAGAGAAGAGAAAUAGGCUGUGAAGUGGCACUUGCUGAGAGCUGCCUGAGAUGCAGGCACUGCGGGGAUGAAGAUACACUGGGUAACACAACUCUGCUCCCCACGACAAACAAGAACAUCAGAGAUCUUCAGAAGCAUCCCUCUGCCUUUUCCCCAAGGCCAGUUCAGUCAGGCCAGACUCCCAUGUAUCAUCUUGGUUCCCUGUUCCUGGCUUUGAGGCAGGGAUGGGACAAAGUCAGCAGGUAAUGCCAUCUUUCUUCCCUUGACUUCUCUCUACCAGACAAAGUGAUCUAAAUUUUCAGACUGCUGCUUUAAAGAGCUUGGACCUGCUGACAGUAGCUGCCUUCAAAAGGGAGGCUUGCCCGAACUGAGGAUUGCCCAGAAUCAUUGAGGAAGAAUGCUCAGAAUACAAAACGGCUUUAGGGACUGAUAAAAUGUAUGUAAAGUUAUGUUUGUAUAAUAAUAAAAUUGAGAAAUAAACAUGAGGUUAUGAGAAAAAGGGUUUGAGUUCAAAAGUGUUUUCUCCAUGUA